AGAGUUUGAUCCUGGCUCAGGAUGAACGCUGGCGGCGUGCCUAACACAUGCAAGUCGAACGAGAAGGCAUCCUUCGGGAUGCUGGAGAGUGGCGCACGGGUGAGUAACACGUAGCUGAUCUACCCUAGAGACGCGGAUAACCCACGGAAACGUGAGCUAAUACGCGAUAAGCUCCCGGGCUUUAGAACCCUGGGAGAAAAACUCCGGUGCUCUAGGAUGAGGCUGCGACCCAUCAGCUAGUUGGUAAGGUAAUGGCUUACCAAGGCGACGACGGGUAGGGGGCCUGAGAGGGUGACCCCCCACACUGGGACUGAGACACGGCCCAGACUCCUACGGGAGGCAGCAGUGAGGAAUAUUGCUCAAUGGACGCAAGUCUGAAGCAGCGACGCCGCGUGGGUGAUGAAGGUUUUCGGAUCGUAAAGCCCUUUUCUCAGUGACGAGGAAGGACGGUAACUGAGGAAUAAGUGUCGGCUAACUACGUGCCAGCAGCCGCGGUAAAACGUAGGACGCAAGCGUUAUCCGGAAUUACUGGGCGUAAAGCGCGCGCAGGCGGGUCGGUAAGUCAGCCGUGAAAGCUCCCGGCUAAACUGGGGGAGGUCGGUUGAAACUGCGGAUCUGGAGUACGGCA
rnacentral:rRNA from 1 species